AACGAACGCUGGCGGCAUGCCUAACACAUGCAAGUCGAACGAGACCUUCGGGUCUAGUGGCGCACGGGUGCGUAACGCGUGGGAACCUGCCCUUAGGUUCGGAAUACCUCCCCGACAGGGGUGCUAAUACCGGAUAAUGUCUUCGGACCAAAGAUUUAUCGCCUUUGGAUGGGCCCGCGUUGGAUUAGCUAGUUGGUAGGGUAAAAGCCUACCAAGGCUACGAUCCAUAGCUGGUCUGAGAGGAUGAUCAGCCACACUGGGACUGAGACACGGCCCAGAAUCCUACGGGAGGGAGGAGUGGGGAAUAUUGGACAAUGGGCGAAAGCCUGAUCCAGCAAUGCCGCGUAAGUGAUGAAGGCCUUAGGGAUGUAAAGCUCUUUUACCCGGGAUGAUAAUGACAGUACCGGGAGAAUAAGCACCGGCUAACUCCGUG
rnacentral:rRNA from 1 species